rnacentral:rRNA from 1 species
UUGCCUACGGGGCGCAGCAGUGGGGGAUAUUGCACAAUGGGGGAAACCCUGAUGCAGCGACGCCGCGUGAGCGAUGAAGUAUUUCGGUAUGUAAAGCUCUAUCAGCAGGGAAGAAAAUGACGGUACCUGACUAAGAAGCCCCGGCUAACUACGUGCCAGCAGCCGCGGUAAUACGUAGGGGGCAAGCGUUAUCCGGAUUUACUGGGUGUAAAGGGAGCGUAGACGGCGGCGCAAGUCCGGAGUAAAAGCCCACGGCCCAACCGUGGGACUGCUCUGGAAACUGUGCGGCUUGAGUGCGGGAGGGG